rnacentral:rRNA from 1 species
UACGUAGGGUGCAAGCAUCAAUCGGAUUUACUGGGCGUAAAGGACGUGUAGGCGGCCUGUAAAGUCUGGCGUGAAAUUACGGGGCUUACCCUCGUAGCUGCGCUGGAAACUCACAGGCUAGAGGGCGGAAGGGGAAAGCGGAAUUCCAUGUGUAGCGGUGAAAUGCGUAGAUAUAUGGAAGAACACCAGUGGCGAAAGCGGCUUUCUAGUACGAACCUGACGCUGAGGCGUGAGAGCAAGGGGAGCAAACAGG